AUGUCAGUACUCCACAUCCAAAUUCCAGGGGGCUGGAGAUGGCUGCUCAGUGCUGUCGAUCUGCUCAGGUUUCUGCACCUCUUGAUGCCAUGUCCCUGUGAUGCCCGGCCAUUGCGCAAAAACAAAAGUGCAGAGAAGUGGAAGAGAGAAAAUCUUCAGUUCCAUUUUCAGUCUGUUAAAGACCUGGGACUGGGGUCUCCUCUGUGUGGCAAGUGGACACACAGAGCUGCUUUCAAAAGGAGUCACCACAAGGCCUCAGUCUGGCUCGCCUCCACAAAGGUCAUGCCUGAGAAGAACCAUGAGGCCACCUCUCCACGUGGAAACCGAUGCUCUCACCAUCCAAAGCUGGACCCUUCUCCUUCUCCACGGUGCCAGAGGUGCCUCACAAGAGGCGAGUUUAUUUAUUCAGUCCUGCUCUGCUCCAUCAAAGAGAUCCCAGCCGGGAGAAGUCAUCAUUCAUCAGCUUGGGAGGGACUCCCGCCUGCAGUAGCAAUACUCUGCGGGGAAAUGCAAACCUGCCAAGCUUUACUUACCUUAGCCCAGCAUGAGAUGAGGCACGCUGAUAGAUGCACAGCUCUGACACGCUUUGGAGAUUGGCAUGGGGGAAUGCAUUGCCUGGCAGGUGCAGGGCUCAUGUGCCCCCACCACUGCAUGUUUUUUCAUGAGUCCCAAGCCCCGUGGGAUGACACAAGAGUGGGAGCAAAGAAAGUGUGCAAAGCAGCCCUGGGUGAAGUAUGCACAGCUGGAGGCGUCUCGCGGUGUUCUCACAGGGGAAGAGGAACAGGGGAGAGCUGUGAGCGAUGA
rnacentral:lncRNA from 1 species